UCGCCCACAACAGAGUGUGCACUUCUAAUACCUUUAAUAACAGUUAUUCCAAAAAUCACCUCAGCCCACUUAAUUAUCAAAACUUGGAAUCUCAACUUCUCACGUUGAAGGCAGGAAUCAACGCCUCUGGUUUUAGCACACAGAAUGAUUUUAUCAGAUCAUUGAGUGGGUGCUUCCUUCUUUUUCUUUUUUAUCUCAGCUGAGUGUUAUUUCGUCUUGAAAAUUAAACCAACCGACAGGCUCUAGGAUUCAGACCCUGUCCAAUUAUUUGAACUGGCUGAUUGCAUGUCAUGGCGGGUCUCUUGUACGAGGGGUGAGAAGCGCAACGCCAUAAUAGUCAAGAGUCUUUAUCCAAUCAGCCAUCUACACAAAAGUUGAGAGGAGAACGUGUCAUCAAUCUCCACCUGGUAGACCAUAAAUUCACAAAAGGCUUGCACAUGCAGGGAUGCUGUACCAACACUUACGCCAUUCCUGACUCGAAAGAAACAACCAGACGAUGCGUGAUAAAUCUUCCACUUGGUUGGAGGAAAUAAAAAACUUGGAGAGCCUUCUAGCUGACCAAAAUAUGCACGACGAGAUGGAUGGGUGGAGUAGCAAGGGCGGUGCCGACCGACUUUCGUCUCAGAGUUUGUUUCUCAGCCAGUAUGUGCUUUCAAUAUUGAUUGAACGAUUAGAAGGGGGCGGCCCACUCGUCAGUCACUUCGACAUAUGCAGAUGUCUUUUUUUGUCCUCCCGAUGAGACUGGAAAAAUAAGAGGCUUCAGAUGAAUGCAUCACAUAUGAGCGGUCCAAUCGAUUUGUCUGCAAUCCAUCUGUUGUUUUCAACAGAAAGAAAAUCGAGUGGAAAAAAAGUCGGUGGGGUUGCGUGCUGUGGCUGUGGAAAGGGGUUUUUCAUUUUUCACAGAACAUGUGCCACCUGUAUUUACACACGAGUUAUUUCAAGGUCCAGGGAAAAUCCACCGGGCCGCAUCCAAGCUGUCCAUCCUAGCAAAACAUCACGGUAGGAGUAAUAACUCUUUCCGGCUGACUUCAACUAAUUUCAUUCUUAGCUCCUUAUGAGGCAUUUGAACCCCGAAAGGAUACGGAGUGCACACAAGUGCAUCAGGAUUACGUCGUAUACCUCUGGGGAAGUGCUUCUAGUAAUCCUCUGCCUCGGAGGAAAUCCCCAGAGUGUUGUUUGCACGAGAGGCUAUUUGACCAGCAGUCCAAGUCUAUCGUCCUAUUUUGCUUGAUAACCACCAGUCAAUAUUUAUUCAACUUUCGCCUUAUUCUUUUCCGUUUUAAAUUUAUCCCAUUUGUCACCGCUUCAUAACAUAAUUCAACAAAUUUAAUUUCACUUUCUGGUAAAUCCGUGUUAAUUAAUUUCUCAUGGUCAAGAUCUCGAGUGACUUCACGGUGUCAGGUACAGAACCUGAAAUUCUUCUCUGUAUUUAUCAAUUCAAUAUUUAACUUGCGCCAGAUUGCACCGUAAACGUAUGUCCCUUCUCCGUUAAGCCAAGUGCCUUUUCACCGUUGUUUGCCAUGAACCUCCGCUCACUCACGUUGAUUUAGGCUUAACGGAUUUACUUCUUUUUCGUCUGUUGCUCACCGAUCACGUGGACAAAUACCCUGAGAACUCGCAUCCCCAUCACCACCCAGUCACUUAAACACACGACUCUAUCGACGAGUUUUGAUGGAUUCUCAACUGCCCCGUUCAUCCCCCUCACCAAUUCACUAGUUUUUUCUACCUAUCAUCUACCCAAUCCCCUCUAGUUGACCUGGGACCUUUCAGCUCUUGUAACAUGAAUCGAAGUGUAAAGAUUCAUCCGGUUUUUUAAAUGAUGGGGGGAUGAAUGUGUGUACACAGUAGGGGCAUUUAGGGCUGUCUUCAACUGACCAUUACACCUGAAUGACUAGAACCUGAAUGAUGAAAAGGACAGCCACCAGCCCUUGAUCUGCCCGACCCACUUCCGGCCCUGACCUUCAAAGAAGAAAAAAAAAACGGUGUCUCUUUCCCGUAAAGUACAACGGACACUGUAAUGACGAAUGUUUCUUUCAUCCCGCUGGAAGAGAUAAGUACAAAGGGAAUCAUGUGCUUGAGACAAUUUUAUGAGAGGGUGCACUCGAUUCCGCUGUUUUCCUCGAGUAACACUUGACGAAUCAGACCCCACAGGUGAAGAAGAUGGUGGAAUGUCCAGGAAGAUUGCAUUGACGCUGAUUCAACGCUGAUUCAACGCUCUCACCCAUGAAAGAAUAAUAAUGAAGGUCCGAAAAUCAUCACUGAUUACACAGCCCAGCCGAUAUUAUUAGAGCCAUGAAGAAUACAACACGGGCUCUCCCAUCCCAGGAGUUCAAAUCAGACGAUUGGGAGAUAUUGCAGGCCCUCAUUGAUCCGAUGUGCCGCUUCUUUAAUGCAACCAAAACGCAAAAUGACACUCAUCGUGAUCCUCUUUUCGUUAAAAUAAGCACGAUGGUGGCUCUGAAUGUAGCUGGUAACGCACCGUGCUGAGUCUCAUAAAUCUUCUUAAAUAUCUCCUCUAUAUCUGGUCAUCAUUCUCUUUCGCAUUGGGGCGUCGAAUAAGGCGCCUUUAAAAUAUUCCUUUUCAGCUGCUGCAUCCAGUGCUCGGAGGCUACACCAGUAGUUGUAAUGAGCAUUCAGGGGAGUUUGUGCGCGGGAGGUUGGCAAUCAGACUCAAUCUCGUUUGAGUUUCUUA